GAAGAAGAACGUAGCGAAAUGCGAUAAGUAAUGUGAAUUGCAGAAUUCAGUGAAUCAUCGAAUCUUUGAACGCACCUUGCACCCUUUGGCAUUCUGAAGGGUAUGCUCGUUUGAGUGUCAUUGUACUCUCACACUCCCGAUCUUUGCAUUGGGAGCAGUGGACUUGGGUUUGCUGCUUCACCGUCGCUUACCUCAAAUAGGUUAGUGCAACUCUUGGUUGGACAUAGUACGGCGUGAUAAGUGUUCUUCGCCGGUGCCUCGCAAAGAGGGUGGCCGAUCGGGAUGUUGUGCUCCAAACCGUCUUCGGACAAUCUCUGACGACUUGACCUCAAAUCGAGUAAGACUACCCGCUGAACUUAAGCAUAUCAAUAAGCGGAGGA
rnacentral:misc_RNA from 1 species